ACAAGAAGAGAACCACCACCAAGUACUUAAAGGACGGGAUUUCUUCAUAGGAAGUGCAUCGCUUAAGAGUAACUGCAAAGUUGUCAAGGGCGCAAUUUAAGCCUUGAAACAAGGCGUACAGGCAGCGAAAUACCGAGGCCAUCUAAGCAAAAAACCACCAAACCAAUAGCUUUUUUUGAAAAGUCAGGACAAUUCACUAGGCUCAUGAGAGCUCUUCAAAAUAAAGAGGUUAAAUAGCACAUACAAAGAUAACAGUCACAAAAAAAAAACACAAGUUGAAUACUUUAUAAUGGGAAAUCAGCAUUUUGGAGUAAGAAAACUUGAAAUCUUUGCAUCUGAACAAAACUUUGAUAUGGUGCUUCAACUUGAUUAACAUGGUUUGGGUUCAUAAAUCCACUUAAAUCACAAUUUAUUAAUUUCUCUAUCAAUAUAAUCAUAGUUGAAUAUAUAGGUGUUUUUUCUUGUGUCAUAUAUUCUUUCAUCUUUUCUUGAUUCACAUCUCAGCACUAAUACCGUGCUUUGAUUGAGCUUUGCACUUGCAACGUCAAUAGACCUUGGCCUUUUCUACUCUUUUCACCUUUGACAAUGCUAAGCAGUUGAUCCUUCGGUGGAGCAUAUCACUUGAAACCAGGGUGGAGCACUAGACACCUAAUAGCUCUUGCAGCUACCCAAGAGAAAUUGCAUUAUGUACAUUGCUGCUAACCCAAGUAGCACAUCAGCGUGCAUUUUCUACUA
rnacentral:lncRNA from 1 species